UUUAUAGCUUGCUAUGAUAAAAAUUAGUGGCAGACGGGUGAGUAAUGCAUAGGAAUCUACCUAGUAGUAUGGGAUAGCCACUAGAAAUGGUGGGUAAUACUGUAUAAUCCCUGCGGGGGAAAGAUUUAUCGCUAUUAGAUGAGCCUAUGUUAGAUUAGCUAGUUGGUAGGGUAAAGGCCUACCAAGGCAGUGAUCUAUAGCUGGUCUGAGAGGAUGAUCAGCCACACUGGAACUGAGAUACGGUCCAGACUCCUACGGGAGGCAGCAGUGGGGAAUAUUGGACAAUGGGCGCAAGCCUGAUCCAGCUAUGCCGCGUGAGUGAGGAAGGCCUUAGGGUUGUAAAACUCUUUCAGUGGGGAAGAUAAUGACGGUACCCACAGAAGAAGUCCCGGCAAACUCCGUGCCAGCAGCCGCGGUAAUACGGAGGGGGCAAGCGUUGUUCGGAAUUAUUGGGCGUAAAGGGCAUGUAGGCGGUUCGGUAAGUUAAAGGUGAAAUGCCA
rnacentral:rRNA from 1 species